GUCCUGACGCAUACUGUUGAUAACAUCCAUCCGAUAACCCUGCGUGUAACAAGAAAAAACAAAUCUGUUAGGAUCUCAUCCCGAUGUGCCUCUUUUUUUCCUCUCCUCCCUUGUUUAAUCCUUGGCGACUCCAUCUAUCCCAUCUCCCUCAUGGUCACCUGCGCCUCUCGACCCAAGCGCUCCUUGCUGCAGCCUGCAUCAUACCGGUCGCCCAGACGUCGGUGCGCCUUGCCGCAGCCAGUACCUUGCCGGCCGCCUCGACCCCGGCACGCCCACACUGCAGCCUGCACCUUGCCGUCUGCCUUAACCAUGGCAUGUGCAUGAUGCAGUCUACACACGCGAGGGAAAAAGCGGGCUUAACUAAGUAGCAACCCUCGUGAAAGCCAAUUCGAAGUCGAUGGUCUACCAUAAGUUAUAGAAACACGAGGAGGCAUUGGAAUCGCCAAAGCAGACAUCCAUGACAACAAUGAUGGCGUCCCUCGACUGAAGAUUAAUAUAUUUUAUCUUUUUAGUUUUCUCGUUUUCCAAUUAGAGAUGAGGAAGUACAUUGGUCCUCUAUAGAUAGAUUUUGACUCAUAUUUUUUAACUGAUAAGUACUUUUAGUAUUGUAGUUUGGAAUUCUGUUACGUUAUAUUAUUUCUUAUUAAUAAAGAAGUUCAUAUAUUCUUUCAUUA